CCUACGGGAGGCAGCAGUGGGGAAUAUUGCUCAAUGGGCGAAAGCCUGAAGCAGCAACGCCGCGUGGGGGAUGAAGGUCUUCGGAUUGUAAACCCCUUUCGACCGGAACGAAUCCCCUCCUGGUGAACAAUCAGGAGGAUCGACGGUACCGGGAGAAGAAGCCACGGCUAACUCUGUGCCAGCAGCCGCGGUAAGACAGAGGUGGCAAGCGUUGUUCGGAUUUACUGGGCGUAAAGCGCACGCAGGCGGUUGGGUAAGUCAAGGGUGAAAGCCCACGGCUAAACCGUGGAAUUGCCUUUGAUACUGCCUUGCUCGAGUGCAGGAGGGGGAAGCGAAAUGCCCAGUGUAGAGGUGAAAUUCGUAGAUAUUGGGAGGACCACCGGUGGCGAAGGCGGCUUCCUGGACUGAAACUGACGCUCAUGUGCGAAAGCGUGGGGAGAAAACAGGCUGAGAUACCCCUGUAGU
rnacentral:rRNA from 1 species